GUCGCCCACCUCCGGUGGAUCGGAGAAUCUUCCACGCAGAAAAAACUUUUCUCCUUUCCGAAUCCGAUGGCCGAUCGAGAAAAAAACCGACAUUGGCAUCUCCCCUGCUUGGCUUCCGUUUCACGCUUGUUCGGAAGCUAUGCGAAGGCCCCACAACGUUGGGGACGUCAGGUGGGGUAAGCCGUGGUCGAUAGAGCCCCCAUCGAGGCCGAGAUCGGAUAUAAAGCUACGGUUGGGUCGAGGAGAGUCGACGACAAGGUGGAGUUCAAGGAGAGAGCCGUCAGGUUCUAUCCUGGUGAGAGAUUGAAAGCAACAAAAAUCAAAUACCAGGUCUCACAACCUGGUGGACUAAUUCCCAGUGGAAUUGAUUCUGGGGACCCUUUGGGUUCCAAAGUUUUCAUCGAGGACCAUGAUCCUUGGUGGAAGAGGAUACUGGAUCCAGGAAGCAACAUCCUGAUGAAAUGGAACCAUGUCUUCCUCGUCUCAUUCUUGGUUGCACUGGUCAUAGAUCCUCUAUACCUCUAAUUGCCGUUGGCCGAUAAGAGCAGCACUAUGUGUAUCAAGACGGAUGAGAAUAUGAGAGUUACCAUUACCUUCCUCUGAACUCUUGCCAAUCUAUUCUAUAUACUGAACAUAGCUGUGAAGUUAGGACUGCGUAUGUUUCUCCAAGCUUGAGAGUAUUUGGACGGGGAGAGCGUAUAAUGGACCGCAAGAAGAUUGCCAUGAGAUUGUUGUUUGGUCAGUCAUCCUAACAGUCAGGAACUUAAGAGCCCAAGACAACAAUAAUGCACUUGCUCUGAUUGUUCUAAUACAAUACAUACCAAGAUUUUAUCUCAUAUUUCCCUUAAGUCAACAAAUUAUUAAAACUACUGGUGUUGUUACAAAGACUGGUUGGGCAGGAGCUGUAUACAAUCUUUUGCUUUACAUGAUUGCCAGCCAUGUUUUAGGAGCUUCAUGGUCUUUGCUUUCAGUUGAAAGACAGAGGACAUGCUGGAAAUCACAAUGCACUCUGGAUAGACCAUUAUGCAAACUAAGGUUCUUGAUUGUGGCUUGUCAAGCCAACCAGAACGUCAAAGCUGGGUUAGUGUCACAAAGGUUUUCAUAAAUUGUGGUCCUAAUGGCACUUUCAAAUUUGGCAUUUUUAAAUCUGCACUAACAAAUGAAGUUCUUACCACGAAGCUUGUCAAGAAGUAUUUCUAUCGUCUUUAGCGGGGAUUGCAAAAGCUAAGGCAUGAACUCUUACUUCCUAUCUUUCAUGUGAAAGUUAAUAUGACUUGGCACAAUUAUGGAUAUACUCUUGAUUUUUUUUUCUCAUGCUAUUUCCUUGAUAUCAGAAAGAUGCUACCACAUCAGGUCGAUUGAAGCUCACUGUGCUCUUGUAUUCUUGCUUGACAAGAAAAACUUUAGCAGAGGAGAGUAUGAUCAACAUACGCACUCCUGUGGCCAAACAUCGACAACGAGUGCUUUUGUUUUCUAUACUCAUCGUCCUUGUUGGUCUUGUUCUAUUUGCGCACCUGAUCGGAAACAUGCAGCGGCUGCUGUCAUCGUUACGUGGGUUUGUUUACCAAGGAAAGGAGAGUGUUGGGAAGAGGCGUUCUGACAUCAACCAGCUCAAGAUGUGGAUGUGUCACCGGCUGCUAUUGCUUUUGCGACCGUUAGAGAUGCAGAUCUGAUGACUGUAGCAGGUGGAAACUCUGUGAGUUAAUACACCGACAAUGGUGUCGCACAAAUUUGUGGCGUUUUUCCAACGGCUUGGCUUGGUUGGGGAGACUUUAUUUGAUGCAAUUGUUCGCGAUGGCCCAACCACGUCUAUUUAUUGACUGCCACCAACAUCUGAUGGGACACCACAGUUCGAAUGCUCAUCAAUUUAUUCAAUUUCAAUUAAAUAUAUAGUUAUCCAAAUGUAAUUUAAAUCCGAUUCGAAUA